rnacentral:rRNA from 1 species
ACACUCCUGCGGGAGGCAGCAGUGGGGAAUUUUGGACAAUGGGGGCAACCCUGAUCCAGCAAUGCCGCGUGAGUGAAGAAGGCCUUCGGGCUGUAAAGCUCUUUUGUCAGGGAAGAAACGGUGGUGGCGAAUAACUACUACUAAUGACGGUACCUGAAGAAUAAGCACCGGCUAACUACGUGCCAGCAGCCGCGGUAAUACGUAGGGUGCAAGCGUUAAUCGGAAUUACUGGGCGUAAAACGUGCGCAGGCGGUUGUGUAAGUCAGAUGUGAAAUCCCCGGGCUCAACCUGGGAAUUGCAUUUGAGACUGCACGGCUAGAGUGUGUCAGAGGGGGGUAGAAUUCCACGUGUAGCAGUGAAAUGCGUAGAUAUGUGGAGGAAUACCGAUGGCGAAGGCAGCCCCCUGGGAUAACACUGACGCUCAUGCACGAAAGCGUGGGGAGUAAACAGGAUUAGAAACCCCGGUAGUCCCAU